AUUAAAGGGCUUUUUUUUGGUUAUUGAGGUCCAUCCAGUGAUAAUAACGGAAAAGAGUUAGAACAAAAGUAUAUAGAAAUAUAUUGUUAUAUUUUUCGAUGAGACGGUAGAAAAUAUAUUGUAAUCGACUCAUUACGAUAUGUAGAAUAUGAUAUUACGUAAUACAAUCUCUUCGCAAUUUCAAACAAAAAAUAAGCGAGGGGGUGCAGCGGUGGACCAGGU
rnacentral:lncRNA from 1 species